rnacentral:rRNA from 1 species
AGUGAACGCUGGCGGUAGGCCUAACACAUGCAAGUCGAACGGCAGCACAGUAAGAGCUUGCUCUUACGGGUGGCGAGUGGCGGACGGGUGAGGAAUACAUCGGAAUCUACUUUUUCGUGGGGGAUAACGUAGGGAGACUUACGCUAAUACCGCAUACGACCUACGGGUGAAAGCAGGGGAUCUUCGGACCUUGCGCGAUUGAAUGAGCCGAUGUCGGAUUAGCUAGUUGGCGGGGUAAAGGCCCACCAAGGCGACGAUCCGUAGCUGGUCUGAGAGGAUGAUCAGCCACACUGGAACUGUGACACGGUCCAGACUCCUACGGGAGGCAGCAGUGGGGAAUAUUGGACAAUGGGCGCAAGCCUGAUCCAGCCAUACCGCGUGGGUGAAGAAGGCCUUCGGGUUGUAAAGCCCUUUUGUUGGGAAAGAAAAGCAGCAGGUUAAUACCCCGCUGUUCUGACGGUACCCAAAGAAUAAGUACCGGCUAACUUCGUG